GGAGGGGGAGGGGGUGGGGGUGGGGGUGGAAUAUAUAAAGUUGGUGCAUUCACUCAACUAACUUGAAAAUGAACUCUACUAGGAGCCACGGAAAUGUUGCAAUACACUAUACCUGCACUGCUUAUAGGCAUGACCUACGUGCCCCUCUACAGGUCUAUAUUUCAAAUUCAUCUUGUUUCCCAGUUGUAGGAACAUUGAGUACACACUGCUUACAUGCGUGACCUUGAAACUGAAGACGUAGAAGAAGGUGCACUCUGCAGCACAAGGAAUGAUAUACCAAUCAGUAAUGAUUUUAACAUAUGCACAGAACAAUAUGACAAGCAAUCUGAGUUAAAAUGAAUGCAACUAACAGCAGUCAGC
rnacentral:lncRNA from 1 species